GACGAACGCUGGCGGCGUGCUUAACACAUGCAAGUCGAACGGAAAGGCCCUGCUUUUGUUGGGUGCUCGAGUGGCGAACGGGUGAGUAACACCUGAGUAACCUCCCCUGUACUUUGUGAUAACUUCAGGAAACUGGGGCUAAUACCUGAUAGGAGCUCCUGCUGCAGGGUGGGGGUUGGAAAGUUUCGGCGGGUGGGGAUGGACUGGCGGCUUAUCAGCUUGUUGGUGGGGUAGUGGCUUACCAAGGCUGUGCCGGGUAUCCGGCCUGAGAGGGUGACCGGCGACAUUGGGACUGAGAUACGGACCAGACUGCUACGGGAGGCAGCAGUGGGGAAUAUUGUCCAAUGGGGGGAAGCCUGAUGCAGCAGCGCCCCGUGCGGGAUGACGGCCUGCGGGUUGUAAACCGCUUUCGACUGUGACGAAGCGUGAGUGACGGUAAUGGGUAAAGAAGCACCGGCUAACUACGUG
rnacentral:rRNA from 1 species